GUCCAGGAGAAAAUCAACAACCUUGUUAAAGCCAAUCAGGUGUGGAGAGACCUCCAGAUGUCCUUUUGGUAGAGAUAAUCCAGAUAUCUUGUUGGGCUCUACAGCUUGCUUUCUUACUUCUCCACUACGUAAAGAAUCCUUCAUCUCAGUGUGAACACUGGAAUUUAAGCUACAGUACUGGCGAUGCUCUAGGAAUGAUGGGAGGUUGUUAUAAUUCUGAUCACAUUGUUUGCAUGUUAGAAGAACAUCUAGCUGGUCUAAAUUUGCACUGCUCAGUGAAUUUGCCAGUAGGUGAUGUGAGGAGUAUGGUGGUGGUGGUUCAUUUUCAAAGCUAUCAAGGCACCCUUUCCCAGGCUCAGUGCUUUGUUUUUGGUACAACUGGUCCUCCUUUGAAGCUUCUGACAAAUAAUUGAAGUUUUUUGAAGAGUCGGGAUUAGGGUAAAUAAGAGAGCCAGAAUUUAACGUUUCGGCAGGGUGACAUGGCUGGUGGAAAUAAGGAGAAGAAGUGAGUGUCUGUUGUACUUGACUAUCAUCUGAACUAUGAUUCAAAGGACUGCUGGACAGUGGAGAAAGAGAGGAGCAGGAGCUUCCAGAGACAGGAUUUGUGGCAGGUGAGGGAAGAGGUGAUUCACUGGGUGAACAAGACAUUGAUUGGUUGGAAUUAUUUCUUGAUGACGUUGUUUGUUGCAUUGGUUGAUUCAUACCAUACAAAAUGCCUUUGUUUCUUGAAUCACAUACUUGAGAGUUUGCUUCUUUCACACCAUCAUAAAAAAUUCCACUUGUCGAACUAUAGCUCGGUCUGCUUGUCUCAAUCCUCUGUGCAGAUAUGCUCUCAACUGUUAGGUGUUUUUUAGCAUGAUAACUAGGUGGGAUUUUCUGCAGCAAGUUGUUGUUGUUUGGCCAUUCAGAAUUUCCAUGGUGAUAAGGGAGCUUUUGGUUCCCAAUUUGCCUUGGCAGCUCUAUACGAUUUUGGUUUGGCAUUGCAGUUGGAAGAUGAACCUGCUGCCAAG